UCUCACUGCCGCAUGGCGGCGGCCUCCUCAGCCCUCUCCUCGUCCUCAACGACGUCUAAAGGCUAUUGCAUUCGCCGUUCAGGUGGUCGUCGGAGAUGGUAGCUAUCAUUUCUCAUCGUGUUUUGAUUGAUCUAUUUAAUUUGCAUCUCUCCGCCUCCUACUUGUGGUGACCCUUUGUUUGUGUGAUUACAUCCUUUCUCUGUGCUUCCCUUUCAAGAUCUCCCUUCUCUCUCUCGGCUCCUACAAAGAGUCAAGCAGCAGGCGCCUGAUCCAUGGCGAUAACCCUGUCUGCCGCAUGGAGCCGAUAUCAUUUCGCCAGGCGAAGAUUGCUUUGGAUGUUUGUUGCGUCGUCCAUCGCCACAAUAACUGGCAACAUUCUCGCUCCAAAAAAUUCAUUUUUUUUCAAGAAAAUAGCAUAAUCUUCUUGUUUUCUUUCAACAGCCUCGAUCCGGCCAUUUCUUUUGGCUUGUGAUUGGGGUGGAAGAGCGGCAUUACUUCAGACAACGGGGGCUUAGUUAACAAAGUAACAGGCCACCUUUUGCACGGUGCCUACAUUAAAGGUUGUCACACGAUUGUGGGCGAAUCCAAUUUCUUUGCCGCCUGCAAAUUUUGAACUGCUACAUUUCUCGGUUGAUGCGCUCUUGAAGUUUCUUAUUCUUUCAAUGGUUUUCAGUGCCUCCACGUCUUAUGUUUUUAUGAAAAAUCCUUCCUUUUUAUUAUCGUUUUACAUCUACUUGUUAAGUUCGUCAAUUCUGUGAACAAAUUCAAUUUCCCCCUCUUGAAUCUUCACAUUGCCACGGAUUAUGAAUUUUAUGUUUAAACAUGAUCAUUAACUCUGGGCCAUUGCGUUGUUUCUCUACCACCAAAUUAAGGGAUGUUUAAAUCAGUGCACAGGACUGGUGAUACUUGGGAUACUCCAUUCCCUGAAUGCGGCUCUUGUUAAUGACCCCAACAGGUAUUUACAAUCAAACCUCUGACUUCCCUAGGUAUGGCAAGGAAGAAGAUUCAUCAACUUGGUUGUCAAUUGUGACAAUGAGUAUCCAAGAAGACAAAGAAACUUAGCAUCUUGUUUUACCAUUUAGGAGAUGGGUAAGGAGAAUUGGCUAGGCAUUGAGAGGCAUGGCCAACUAAUGAGAAUUUGUGAGAACUUUUCACCUUCAAGCUAUUGCUCAAUUAAUGAGAAUUUGUGAUAGGCAUGUUCAACAAGAAAGUCACAAUUUCCUACCACCAACCUAUUUACUGUUAAAUGGUUGAACAAUGUGCAAGAGUUCUAGGCUUCAGUUGUGCAAAUUGGGCUUCAGUCGUGCAAAUGUGUUUGUUUUAAACAAUGUAUAAUAAUUGGUUUUCUCUUAACAAAAUUUGAAAACUAUGUAAGGGAUGGUCAAACAUGUCUUAAGAUAUCCUCAAGAACAAGCUCUUAUAAAUUAUUUUACUGGUA